AACAAAGAUGGAAGCAGAACCAGCCUCAUAUUUAGAGGACAACAGUGGGAGAAUAAUGCACUCAUUAGGACAUUCUGUUCAUUUCUGUGCUUUGCCAUAGAUUUCCUGUGUGUCUUGAUGAGGCAUUCCUUAUCUUCUGUAUUCCAGUUUAUCAUAUGCAAGUUGCGGAUACAGAAUCUAAAAGUGAAGAUGAGGGCAUUAAAAGCUGUGUAGCUAUAACAAAGUAAUAAAAAAAAUCAGUACCUGUGAUAGUGGGGACAAUAUAAAUAUUAUGGUAAGGGAGCAGUUUUAAUUGUCACUGGAGUCGGAUUGUGUCUCAUAGAUGCUUCCUGAGAUGCUUCAUAAGAUUACUGCUGCUUAUUCUAUGGAUUAGUUUAUUUGUUUUAUGCUUAACUGGCAAAUUAAUGUUGUCAGUAGCUUGGGAAAAUACAACUUGCCUUUGUAUGCCCUUAGCCAGAAAGCAAUUUGUGUCUGCAAAUUUUCAUGCAUUGCUUUUGUUUUAUUGCUAUUAUAUCUUUGCUAAGAUAAUUAUUACUGAGAAUAUCUUACAGAUAUUAGUACCUGGGUAUUAUUUUGUGCAGUUGCAUAUUGGCAAAUAAAAUGCUGUUUUUAAUACUGCUUUAAACUAGUUUAACAUAUUCUAAUAGAAGUAUCUCAUAAAGAACCUAUAAUUUCAUGCAAAGUACUUUUGAGACUUAAUCAAGCAGGGAAUCUGUUUAUUUAAAUGAAGCUCUGGUAUUCUCUGUCUAUGCUGAAUUUUUUCAUGAAUGAAGGAGUGUGCAGGAAGCAUCAGAGUCCUACAGAGAAAAUUAGGACCUCUGGGUGUGGUUUAGGUAGGCUCACAGAUGUGUGUUAACUGACUCUAGCAAUAUUAAGGCACUCUAGUUGGCUAUAAGGUUAAAUUUAUGGAACCUAUCAGUCACUGUUUCCCCCCUUCCUCUCCCCACCAAACACAAACACACACACACACACACACCAGGAAUAAAGUGAUACUAAAGAAAAUAUUUAUUUCAGAUAAUAGCCAGUAGUGUAUAUUGUUCAGAGUAUUUCCUUACUAAGGAGCUUGAUGUUCAGGUGCAUAUGAAUUUGAUAAAAGAUUUAUCUGAAAACCUUAGGGGAGGGGGUAGGUAGGAUUUAUUUUUUUUAAAGCAUGCUUAGUAUUAAAUGCCAUGAUGUUCUAUUAAGUGAGCUAUUUAGCAUACUUUCAUGUUCUUUUGUGCAUGCACUGUUCCUUGAGAUGCUGUCGCGUUAAGCGGUGUAGCCAAUUAAGCAUUAUGGGUCUGGUCGGACUCAGGGUAUUGAACUAUCAUGGUCACAGAUUCACCAAUAACAUAGCACGCCCUCACUCUAGUCGCUUUCAAUGAGAACUGUCAUGGCUAGGAACAAUGCAAUUAAAUGCAAUUUAUUACAGCAAAAGGUACGCAGGUUCUUUGGAUUGCUGGAAAUAAAUUCACUGUCUGCAAAAGCAAGCUACAAUGCAUGAAACACACAGGUACACACCUGGUAUAACCAAGCAUUCAAAUCUUACCCCACGGCGUCCCAAUGAGGGGAGGAGGGGGGGGGAGAGGCCUGUCAACUGAUCCCAGAAUUCAGAAGGUAUCCUUCAUGAUGGUAUCUUCCCUAACAACCCCUCUCUUUUAAGCCAAUUUAUAUUAUUUUCUAUCUUGAGCUUGAGUGACUCUAGUCAAGCAUAUCUUGGUUAUAAUUGGUAAAAAGUUUUCUCGCUUUUGUUUAAAGGUAUAGGCUCCGAGAAGUUCACAGCGCAUGCUCAGUGAGGGCUGGUUGCACCUUGGAGGCGGGUAGCUUUUGGGAUGGAGGUGUGUUUUGGUAUUAUAAUGAUAUUCUAAUGAGCAAAA